CAGGGUCCGUCCCCAGUGCUGUCACCUUCACGGGGGCGGGAGCCCUGCUGGGCUCGGCAAUCUCAAAUGGCAAUUCUCGACCUUCCGGGCAGGGCAACAAAAGGAUUUUCAUUGCCCGGAGACUCCCUGCUCGCCCUGCUCGCCUUGGCCUGGUCACAUUGCGCAGUGACCUUCAGGCGGGGGCUGCUCGGAAGGCCUGGGCACGAAGGCUACUUUUAUCCCGGACAAUGGGAACCCCCAGUGCCAGAUUUUUCUCAAUACCGGCUUUGCCAUCUGUCCCGUUCGGAACCUGUAGGAGUGUGAAACGCAGCGUGCGGGAACAAGCGGGCCUUGGAACCGCGGCUGCGAAUGCGUGUGCUGUGAGGAGACGGCGCACGGAACAGGGAAGGAACGGCCCCAGCCCCGGGCUGACGGCAGGGACGCCCGCGCCGGCCGGGCAGUGGCUCUGGGGCACCGAGGGAGGCCAGCUGUGAGGAAGGGGCAGGGCGAGGGUGCAGGGGCUCCGGGAGGGUGGUGGCUGCGGCCGGGCCCACGCCCGCCCCUGGCCGGCAGCACCCCGGGGUGAGCGGCGGUUUCCGGAAGCCCCAGCGGAUCUCGCCUGUCCGAACUGUCCUGGUGCAGCUGCCCCCGCCGCUGUUUGUGGAAGCCCCUGGGUCAACGGCAGGGGGGUGAGGAAAGUCUCACCCCUGUGAGACAGCCCAGUGCUGGAAUGUCACAGGGCACGGGAGAAUGUGACAGGUCCCCGCGCACACAGACCGGCUGUUGUGCCGCCUCCCGGGCACGGCGGGACGGGGCUGGGGGGCAAGGGCUCUUCUCCCCCAGGCAGAAAACACAGGCUCCUCCGCUUCCGGGCUAUCUGCGUGGGUGUUUUCCAGCCGUGUCCUCUGUGACCGCCGGGAUGGAGCUGCUGAUGGCCUCCAUUCACAGGUUACCUAGGCAACGGCGGCUGUUUCAGGGGUUCUGGGACAAAACAGCUCUUGGACACUUGGGUCUAAGUUCCAGCCCUGCCAUGCAUGGUUUUAGGGGUGGUUGUUGCCCCUCUCCAGGCCCCCGUUUUCUUGUCUAAGGAAUGGGGUGCGGAAGGGCAGCCGCCCAGAGCCGCGGGCUGGUGGAGGCCGCCCUCGUGGGGUCUCUGGUCUCCGCAGCGCUUCCUCUGCCGAGACUUCCUUCAUCUGGAGGGUUUGAGCCUAGAUGAAAUUCAGGAUUCCCGGGGACGGGCGGCAGCCAGAGGCCCCUUCCCAGGCCUUGCAGAGUCUUUUGUGACUCACUGUGCACUGCAGGGACAAUCGUCCCAGAGGCGAUGACAGUGAUGGGUGGACAUGGCUCUGGGAUUGCCUUUGCCGCUCAGGGCCGCCCUGCGAGUCUCGGGGGGCAGGGACUCCCCGUUCUGUUGCUCAUCGUAUGCCCAGCACCAGGCAUGGUACUGGGCGCACAGCAGUGCGUACCAUCUGGUGGGAGCAUGGCCGUGUACAAAGACCAGCGUGACACUAGUGUGACACUAACUGCCAGGCGUUAGGGAGUCUGAGAAGUGAACAUUAAACUGUGUUUGCAGUUGGGGCUGCAAAAAGUCCUUACAAAGAAGAGCAUGCUGACCCAAACCUAGCAGGCGUGUAGGGUAGAAAAGGAGAUUUAUCUUCUUCUCUUAAGCAGAAGCUGGGAGGCAGGUGACUCUUUGGCCUGGGCUCACUGGUUUCAUGAGGGUGAGGCUUAUGUCUUUGGGAUUCCGUUGUUACUUCCUCAUGGUCACAAGGUGGCUGCCUCAGCUCCAGAAUCAUGUCUACAUUCCAGAGAGGGCGAAAGGGCAAGGGGGAGUAUCCACAGGCUCAAGUUCCAUUGCCGAAACUGUGUCACCUGGCCACCCAGAGCUGCCCGGGAGACCCAGAGUGCCAACACUGGUGACGCCGCCGCCAGGAGCCCUCUGGCCCGCUGAGCAAGAGGCCAGCGCAGGACGGCAGUCUGAACGCCGAGGGUCAUUUCUCUCUUGUAACCCCAGAGGUCUGAAGUUUGGACAAAAGGAAUUUUAGGGUCGUUAGAAUGGCCAGACUUCCAAGGCCACUGUCACCAGCCCCUCUGCCGUGACUCAGAGGCAGAUGCCCAGCCCCAGCGGCGGGAAGCAGCCAAACCAGUUCUCUUCCUCUCUUGGGGCCUCACUCCUGACCCCCUGCAAGGACCCCUCCUGGCCCCUGUCCUCCGAGAACGCUCCUGGUUCUUCUGGGGCUCAGGGGCUCGCCCACCCACAGCCCACAGGUCUGUCGGAAGCACGAGCCGGAUGCGGCCGCCCGCCCGCCGGCACUGCCUGAGGCUCUGGCCACGCAGGAAUCAAGCCUCUGGCCUCGGGAAGCCUCACCUGCUACUUCUGUGACCCGCACUCCGGAAGGUUCAGCUCUGCCUUAUGGCCGCGGUUACCUUACAUGUUAGUCACGCCUGCCCAGCACAGCCCUGGGCCCGGGAAGACGGGCACGCCCCGUGCACCGUAGAAUGCCCUGACAGUUCCACGAAUAUCGCUGUUUAGUGCAUUAGGAAGCUGCAACCUGGAGCCAUUAAGUGACGAGCUGAGCGUCCCCCUGCUCGCCGGGCUGCAAGGCAGGGGAGCCACCUCCAUCGGCCACGCCACGUGGACGGCACGUCUCCUAAUUAAGCGGGAACUGAAGUUAAAGGCUUACUUCUCACGUUUACAUGAGAACACGUGGAAAUAAAGCCGUUCAUCCCAGUAGGGUCAGGGCUGCUGGUCCCUGGACCCUCGGACCCAAGAGCCUGGGCUCCGUGUUUUUCUAAGCAAAACUGCAAGUGUUGCUGCCACAGAGAAGUAGUUUUUAACUGUCUUAACCAAGCGAUGCGAGAGGGAACCUGUUGGGGUUGGAUGCACUGGCAGACACAUCUGUCACUCCGUCGGGUGUGCUCGUGCUUGGGGACAUCCUUCGGGAAGCGGAGUUGCAGAUCGAGCGGGUGCCCGAGGGCGGCAGAGCCCCCUGAGCAUCCUCGAGGGAGGGUCUGUGUGCUCUGUGCCCACUCCCUUUAUUCCCCUCACAGCCCCGCAGGGCGGCCACUGCCACCGCCAGUCCACAAGCUGGACCGCGUGGUCCAGCGUCCUUAGGCGACUCCCCCGAAGUCACCGCCGGUGAGCCGCGGGCUGGUGGAAGCCAAGACGCGUCUGCCCGACUCCCAAUCCAAGACGGCCCUGAGAAAAGAGUGGCUCUAAGUUGUUGCAAUGAAUUAAAAAAAAAAAAAAUUGCAAACAUGGAAUUAUUUAGAAUGUAGCCUUUUCGUCUGAGAGAGUGAAAUAUUUUUGGAAGAAAAAUAUUUUCUGUCAAGUUAAUAAGAUGCAGAGUAAAGAUUU